GCGCUCUUAGUGACCAAUGAACCUCAUAAACUAUUGAUUUUAUUGAAAGAGAAUGACAUUUGUAAUCUCGGGGUCGCGGGUUCGAAUCCUGCUGCCGGCACCA
rnacentral:tRNA from 2 species